GGGCGUUUGGCACAGUGGUAGCGCGUAUGCUUUGCAUCCUGAGGGUCCUUGUGUAAGCAAAGUGCUUAUAUGCAUAAGGUCGAGGGUUCAAACCCCUCAACGUCCA
rfam:Fomitopsis pinicola FP-58527 SS1 unplaced genomic scaffold FOMPIscaffold_21, whole genome shotgun sequence.